CACGCAUGGUGGAUUCACAAUCCACUGCCUUGAUCCACUUGGCUACAUCCGCC
rnacentral:tRNA from 1 species